rnacentral:rRNA from 1 species
AUUGAACGCUGGCGGCAGGCCUAACACAUGCAAGUCGGACGGUAGCACAGAGAGCUUGCUCUCGGGUGACGAGUGGCGGACGGGUGAGUAAUGUCUGGGGAUCUGCCCGAUAGAGGGGGAUAACCACUGGAAACGGUGGCUAAUACCGCAUAACGUCGCAAGACCAAAGAGGGGGACCUUCGGGCCUCUCACUAUCGGAUGAACCCAGAUGGGAUUAGCUAGUAGGCGGGGUAAUGGCCCACCUAGGCGACGAUCCCUAGCUGGUCUGAGAGGAUGACCAGCAACACUGGAACUGAGUCACGGUCCAGACUCCUACGGGAGGCAGCAGUGGGGAAUAUUGCACAAUGGGCGCAAGCCUGAUGCAGCCAUGCCGCGUGUAUGAAGAAGGCCUUCGGGUUGUAAAGUACUUUCAGCGGGGAGGAAGGUGAUGUGGUUAAUAACCGCGUCGAUUGACGUUACCCGCAGAAGAAGCACCGGCUAACUCCGUGCCAGCAGCCGCCGUAA